rnacentral:rRNA from 1 species
CAUCGACGGGGAGGUUUGGCACCUCGAUGUCGGCUCAUCGCAUCCUGGGGCUGUAGUCGGUCCCAAGGGUUGGGCUGUUCGCCCAUUAAAGCGGUACGCGAGCUGGGUUCAGAACGUCGUGAGACAGUUCGGUCCCUAUCCGUCGUGGGCGUAGGAAAUUUGAGAGGAGCUGUCCUUAGUACGAGAGGACCGGGAUGGACAUACCUCUGGUGUACCAGUUGUCGUGCCAACGGCAUAGCUGGGUAGCUAUGUGUGGACGGGAUAAGUGCUGAAAGCAUCUAAGCAUGAAGCCCCCCUCAAGAUGAGAUUUCCCAACUUCGGUUAUAAGAUCCCUCAAAGAUGAUGAGGUUAAUAGGUUCGAGGUGGAAGCAUGGUGACAUGUGGAGCUGACGAAUACUAAUCGAUCGAAGACUUAAUCAA